rnacentral:misc_RNA from 1 species
AUUUCCCCAAUGGGUUCUCCGGAUUUCUGGAGACUUGUAGGGGUUGUGGGUUUUUCGAUGUGUCGUCUCCGGACGGGCGGUGCAGGGUAGUCGAGUUGGACUUGGUGGAAUUCGGUUUAUUCGAAUCCGUCGAGUCUGGCUGGCACGAUCGUGUGCGGCUGUGUGCUGGACGGUGUAGGGUAGGCUGCUUGGACAUGGUCGGUUCGAGGAUCGAUUCGAGGGCCGGCCUGUCGAUGAUGUGUGAUGUAUGCGGUCUAGGGUAGGCUGGUUUGUCUUGGUCCAAUUUGAUGUCGGCUCCCGUGCAGACCAGAGUGAGGGCGGUCCAGGGUAGGUCCAGGGUAGGCAGCUUAGAUUUGAUCGAUCUGGAGGUCGAUUCUCCGGCUGGCGGAUCUGACACUGUCGAAACGAGAUGCGAGCGGUGUAGGGUAGGCCAGUUUUGUCGUCGCCAGGUUGCGAUUCGGACGAGAUAUGUGGUCUAGGGUAAGUAGAGUUCGAGUUUCGUCGCCAACAGUUUGCUGUAUGUGUAGGGUAGGUGCAGGGUAAGCAAAUCUCUCUCUGGCCAGACGGUUUUGCGGUCUGGUGGUCGUGAGUCGAUUUUUUUGUUUC